UACAGAGGGUGCGAGCGUUAAUCGGAAUUACUGGGCGUAAAGCGUGCGUAGACGGUUUCGUAAGUCGGGUGUGAAAUCCCCAGGCUCAACCUGGGAAUUGCAUUCGAAACUGCGAGGCUAGGGUACGGAAGAGGGAAGCGGAAUUUCUGGUGUAGCGGUGAAAUGCGUAGAUAUCAGAAGGAACAUCAGUGGCGAAAGCGGCUUCCUGGUCCAGUACCGACGUUCAGGCACGAAAGCGUGGGGAGCAAACAGG
rnacentral:rRNA from 1 species